AUGAAAAAGGCAAAGCUAGAGAAAUCUAGUGACGCAAAGCUAUAGGGUCCUAAGGGAUAGCCAGUUG
rnacentral:ncRNA from 1 species